UAUUGGCAUUUUAUAGUAGAUGCAAACCACUCCGCCAAAGUUUCCGUUGUAGAUAGGAAGUCAAUUAAAGACAAUGUGUUCACAGGACAGAUAACGUAUACCGCUGAAGAUUUAAACCUUUUAAUUCUGGGUAUGCACAGCUCAAGAAACAAA